rnacentral:rRNA from 1 species
GGACCCGCACAAGCGGUGGAUGAUGUGGAUUAAUUCGAUGCAACGCGAAAACCUUACCUACCCUUGACAUGCCAGGAACUCUGCCGAGAGGUGGAGGUGCCCGAAAGGGAACCUGGACACAGGUGCUGCAUGGCUGUCGUCAGCUCGUGUCGUGAGAUGUUGGGUUAAGUCCCGCAACGAGCGCAACCCUUGUCAUUAAUUGCCAUCAUUUGGUUGGGCACUUUAAUGAGACUGCCGGUGACAAACCGGAGGAAGGUGGGGAUGACGUCAAGUCCUCAUGGCCCUUAUGGGUAGGGCCUCACACGUCAUACAAUGGUCGGUCCAGAGGGUUGCCAACCCGCGAGGGGGAGCCAAUCUCAGAAAGCCGAUCGUAGUCCGGAUUGCAGUCUGCAACUCGACUGCAUGAAGUCGGAAUCGCUAGUAAUCGCGGAUCAGCAUGUCG